CAGUCGCCACGGUAAUACGGAGGGUGCAAGCGUUACUCGGAAUCACUGGGCGUAAAGGACGCGUAGGCGGAUUAUCAAGUCUCUUGUGAAAUCUAACGGCUUAACCGUUAAACUGCUUGGGAAACUGAUAAUCUAGAGUAAGGGAGAGGCAGAUGGAAUUCUUGGUGUAGGGGUAAAAUCCGUAGAUAUCAAGAAGAAUACCUAUUGCGAAGGCGAUCUGCUGGAACUUAACUGACGCUAAUGCGUGAAAGCGUGGGGAGCAAACAGGAUUAGAUACCCGCGUAGUCCCUGUCUCUUAUAC
rnacentral:rRNA from 1 species